UACGGGGGGGGCAAGCGUUGUUCGGAUUUACUGGGCGUAAAGGGCGCGUAGGCGGCCACCGCAAGUCGACUGUGAAGUCUCCGGGCUUAACCCGGAAAGGUCAGCCGAUACUGCGGGGCUAGAGUGCAGAAGGGGCAACUGGAAUUCUCGGUGUAGCGGUGAAAUGCGUAGAUAUCGAGAGGAACACCUGCGGCGAAGGCGGGUUGCUGGGCUGACACUGACGCUGAGGCGCGAAAGCUAGGGGAGCGAACGGG
rnacentral:rRNA from 1 species